GCGAGACUUCAAUAAAAACAGUAGAAAUGGAUUUUGCACAUAAAAAUCUUUUGUGCAUUAAAAUGCAAUUAGGAAUAAUGAUUUAUGAAUAUAUUUGAAUUAAAAUGGAUUUCCAACCAAGUCUAUUUGUUCUGGUUUGGUUUUCCAGCGUAGGUCCAGUUGUUGUGAAUACAGGUAAGUUUCAUUCAUCUUGCACUGGUCAACAUCGACAACAAUAACAUAUUUUUUUUUAUGAUUUCUUCAAUGUAAUGUACC
rnacentral:lncRNA from 1 species